rnacentral:rRNA from 1 species
AUUGAACGCUGGCGGCAGGCCUAACACAUGCAAGUCGAACGAGUGGCGGACGGGUGAGUAAUGUCUGGGAAACUGCCCGAUGGAGGGGGAUAACUACUGGAAACGGUAGCUAAUACCGCAUACCAUCGGAUGUGCCCAGAUGGGAUUAGCUAGUAGGUGGGGUAAUGGCUCACCUAGGCGACGAUCCCUAGCUGGUCUGAGAGGAUGACCCGCCCCCCUGGAACUGGAGCCCGGUCCGGACUCCUACGGGAGGCAGCAGUGGGGAAUUUUGCACCAUGGGCGCAAGCCUGGUGCAGCCCAUCCGGGGUGUUGAAGAAGGCCUUCGGGUUGUUAAGUACUUUCGGCGGGGAGGCGUUAUCCCCAGGAGAAGCCCCGGCUAACUCCGUGCCAGCCGCCGCGGUAAUUC